rnacentral:sRNA from 1 species
AUAUUAUUUAAAAUAGAAAUAAACAUGUUAGAUUUUGUUUUAUUGUAAAGUCGGCAAACAAAAUAUUUAUUGAGUUUGUACAUUAGAAACCUUUGGUUAUUUUGAUUAGAUAAAAUAUCUUUUGGGGUUUUCUCCAUAAAUCUAUUCAUAUAUAAUAAUUAAAUAAAAAUAUAUGGUCAAAGUAUAGUUGUUUCUCUUACUUUUGAAAAAUGUUAUGUACGUACAUGAUAAUAAUGUACGUACAUCUUUGUUAGUGAGUUAAAAUUGUUGAGAAUAAACAAGAUUUUAAACUAAACCCUUAAACAUAAACGAUAAUAUUGAGAUACACGUACACGUAUACAACUUUAAAAUGAGUUUAAAAAUUCUCUAACCAUUGUUUACGAAAAAAUUUUAAUUUUAUUUUUUUGACAUCAAGAUUAAGUUAUUAUGUAAGUUAUAUGUAUGCUGUAUAUUUUAAUAUAGAUUAUGCAUAUAUAAUAUUUCAACGAAUCGUACUCUCAUUCAUGUAAAACCGAUCUUCCAAUACUAAAUUGCACACCAUUACAAUUCAUUUCGCAUCUACCAUGCCUAUAUGUAUUCGUGUACGUAAAACAUUCAUCUUUACAUAAUUCACCAGAUACAUAAUUAGUAGUGUACGUACAUAUUCUUUGAUAAAUGUACGAGUGUACGUUAACUUCGAUUUUAUAAUUGUAAUUUGGGUAAUUGAAAUAUAAAAGUCUAAAUAUAAUUUAUGUUAAGUAUAUAACUAUAUUUUGAAUACCCAUUCGGUUCUCAAUUUGCUUUGGAUAAUUUUGGGUUUACAAAUACAAAAAGAAUCUCCAACAAAACAAUUUAUGAACCCAGAAAUUUGUAAAAACGUAUCAUUACUUUCAUAUCACGUUCUCAAGUGUAAUUAAUAGGAUUAACACGAAUUUCUUACCCAGAACACAGAUUGUCUCUCCUUCAAUCCUUCAAACUUUGUAAAACAACAACUGAAAACUUUAGAUUCUUCACCGUAACACAAUUUCGAUAUUCGUUUUUUUCCCAGAAUUCUAAUCUCAAUUAUGUAAAUAUCUUACAAUAUAAUCUCUAUUAUAAUAGGUAAUCAUGAGUUUUAGUCUUGUCAAAACUUUUUAGCAUUAAAAACUUCUGAGCCCAACCAAUUUUUAAAAUUUUUAAUUCCAAUUUCAAGUGUCAAAUUCGCCGAAACCCAGAAAACAUUUAAUGCAUUUCUCGUCGAUGAACAGUGUACGUACAAAUCCGGUUCUCUUGGAUUCCAACGAUGCGGUCCGUACGUACAAACCGGGUUCAGUUUCGUCAGGGGCCUUUUGGUUAGUUUUUGGCUGAAUGACUAAGAAUUGAAAGGUCCAGCCCACAGUAUCAAAAUCUGAAAUUAAAAGUGGAUCAAUGGCUACUGUGUGUAAUUUACCCUACUUAAUAUCUAGCAAGAUUUAAGACCAGUUCCAAUAUAAAGUCAACUACUUUUUCCUACUGUUAAGUACAGGUUUUUUAAUUCAUGUUGGCUGACUAAAUUGGACAGCUAUCAUCUACACAUUAAAAAUUUAAAAUAAUCCCCACUACAGUCUACAGCAGCUCCGAUUAUAGUUCAAUGCAAAAUCUUGUUAUUACGAUCAUAUAUAUUAGUUUUUAAAUAUUUUAAAGGUAUAGUUAAAUUCGUCAAU